UACGUAGGGGGCAAGCGUUAUCCGGAUUUACUGGGUGUAAAGGGAGCGUAGACGGCAGCGCAAGUCCGAAGUGAAAGCCCGGGGCCCAACCCCGGGACUGCUUUGGAAACUGUGAAGCUGGAGUGCGGGAGGGGCAGGCGGAAUUCCUGGUGUAGCGGUGAAAUGCGUAGAUAUCAGGAGGAACACCGGCGGCGAAGGCGGCCUGCUGGACCGUAACUGACGUUGAGGCUCGAAAGCGUGGGGAGCAAACAGG
rnacentral:rRNA from 1 species